GGUUCUGAUUUAUCAGAACAGUGGCGAACGGGUGAGUAACACGUAAGUAACCUACCCUCAAGUAGGGGACAACUCUGAGAAAUCGGAGCUAAUACCGUAUGUGGUGCUGGAGGUAAGGCUCCAGUACUAAAGCCUUAGGGUGCUUGGGGAGGGGCUUGCGUCCGAUUAGCUUGUUGGUAGAGUAAUGGUUUACCAAGGCAAUUAUCGGUAGCUGGUCUGAGAGGAUGGUCAGCCACACUGGGACUGAGACACGGCCCAGACUCCUACGGGAGGCAGCAGCAAGGAAUAUUGUGCAAUGGGCGAAAGCCUGACACAGCGACGCCGCGUGGGGGAUGAAGGCUUUCGGGUCGUAAACCCCUUUUCUCAGGGAGGAAUAAUGACAGUACCUGAGGAAUAAGUCAUGGCUAACUACGUGCCAGCAGCCGCGGUAAAACGUAGGUGGCGAGCGUUAUCCGGAUUUACUGGGCGUAAAGAGGGCGCCGGCGGCUUUUCAAGUCGGAUGUAAAAUC
rnacentral:rRNA from 1 species